GUCUUUUUGUAUUUUAUUUAAAGUCUAGCCUGCCCACUGAAAUUAUUUUAAAUGGCCGCAGUAAUUUGACUGUGCAAAGGUAGCAUAAUAAUUAGUUUUUUAAUUAAGAGCUAGUAUGAAAGGUUGGACGAAGUAAAUUCUGUCUCUAUUUAAUUUAAAUUAGAAUUUAAUUUUUAAGUUAAAAAGCUUAAAUGUUUAUAAAAGACGAGAAGACCCUAUAGAGCUUUAUAUUUUUAAUAAUAUAAUUAUAUUAAGAUUUAAUUAUUUUUUAUUAUUAAAAUUAUUUUAUUGGGGUAAUAGAAAGAUUUAAAUAAUUCUUUUUUAUUAUUUAUAUUUAUUUAUAGAAUUAUUGAUCCAAUUUUAUUGAUUAUAAGAUUAAGUUACCUUAGGGAUAACAGCGUAAUUUUUUUGAAGAGUUCUUAUCGAUAAAAAAGUUUGCGACCUCGAUGUUGGAUUAAAGAUUAUUUUUGGUGUAGAAGUUAAAAAUUUUGGUCUGUUCGACCAUUGAAUCUUUACAUGAUCUGAGUUCAGACCGGUGUAAGCCAGGUCGGUUUCUAUCUUUAUUUUUGUAUAAUAUUUUAGUACGAAAGGACCAAAUAUUAAAUAUAUUAAUAUUUAUAUAUUGAAUAUUAUU
rnacentral:rRNA from 1 species